rnacentral:rRNA from 1 species
GCUGGCGGCAGGCCUAACACAUGCAAGUCGAACGGAGUUAUAUUGUAGCUUGCUAUGGUAUAACUUAGUGGCAGACGGGUGAGUAAUGUAUAGGAAUCUACCUAGUAGUACGGAAUAAUUGUUGGAAACGGCAACUAAUACCGUAUACGCCCUACGGGGGAAAAAUUUAUUGCUAUUAGAUGAGCCUAUAUUAGAUUAGCUAGUUGGUGGAGUAAUAGCCUACCAAGGCAAUGAUCUAUAGCUGAUCUGAGAGGAUGAUCAGCCACACUGGAACUGAGAUACGGUCCAGACUCCUACGGGAGGCAGCAGUGGGGAAUAUUGGACAAUGGGCGAAAGCCUGAUCCAGCCAUGCCGCAUGAGUGAAGAAGGCCUUUGGGUUGUAAAGCUCUUUUAGUGAGGAAGAUAAUGACGGUACUCACAGAAGAAGUCCUGGCUAACUCCGUGCCAGCAGCCGCGGUAAUACGGAGAGGGCUAGCGUUAUUCGGAAUUAUUGGGCGUAAAGGGCGCGUAGGCGGAUUAGUAAGUUAAAAGUGAAAUCCCAAGGCUCAACCUUGGAAUUGCUUUUAAAACUGCUAAUCUAGAGAUUGAAAGAGGAUAGAGGAAUUCCUAGUGUAGAGGUGAAAUUCGUAAAUAUUAGGAGGAACACCAGUGGCGAAGGCGUCUAUCUGGUUCAAAUCUGACGCUGAAGCGCGAAGGCGUGGGGAGCAAACAGGAUUAGAUACCCUGGUAGUCCACGCUGUAAACGAUGAAUGUUAAAUAUGGGAAGUUUUACUUUCUGUAUUACACCUAACGCGUUAAACAUUCCCCCUGGGGAC